AUUGAACGCUGGCGGAAGGCCUAACACAUGCAAGUCGAGCGGAUGAAGGGAGCUUGCUCCUGGAUUCAGCGGCGGACGGGUGAGUAAUGCCUAGGAAUCUGCCUGGUAGUGGGGGAUAACGUCCGGAAACGGGCGCUAAUACCGCAUACGUCCUGAGGGAGAAAGUGGGGGAUCUUCGGACCUCACGCUAUCAGAUGAGCCUAGGUCGGAUUAGCUAGUUGGUGGGGUAAAGGCCUACCAAGGCGACGAUCCGUAACUGGUCUGAGAGGAUGAUCAGUCACACUGGAACUGAGACACGGUCCAGACUCCUACGGGAGGCAGCAGUGGGGAAUAUUGGACAAUGGGCGAAAGCCUGAUCCAGCCAUGCCGCGUGUGUGAAGAAGGUCCUCGGAUUGUAAAGCACUUUAAGUUGGGAGGAAGGGCAGUAAGUUAAUACCUUGCUGUUUUGACGUUACCAACAGAAUAAGCACCGGCUAACUUCGUG
rnacentral:rRNA from 1 species